rnacentral:rRNA from 1 species
GCAUAUCAAUAAGCGGAGGAAAAGAAACCAACAGGGAUUGCCUCAGUAACGGCGAGUGAAGCGGCAAGAGCUCAAAUUUGAAAGCUGGCCCCCUCGGGGUCCGCAUUGUAAUUUGCAGAGGAUGCUUCGGGAGUGGCCCCCAUCUAAGUGCCCUGGAACGGGCCGUCAUAGAGGGUGAGAAUCCCGUCUGGGAUGGGGUGUCCACGCCCGUGUGAAGCUCCUUCGACGAGUCGAGUUGUUUGGGAAUGCAGCUCUAAAUGGGUGGUAAAUUUCAUCUAAAGCUAAAUACUGGCCGGAGACCGAUAGCGCACAAGUAGAGUGAUCGAAAGAUGAAAAGCACUUUGAAAAGAGAGUUAAACAGCACGUGAAAUUGUUGAAAGGGAAGCGCUUGCGACCAGACUCGCCCACGGGGUUCAGCCGGCAUUCGUGCCGGUGUACUUCCCCGCGGGCGGGCCAGCGUCGGUUUGGGCGGCCGGUCAAAGGCCCUUGGAAUGUAACGCCCCCCGGGGCGUCUUAUAGCCAAGGGUGCCAUGCGGCCAGCCCGGACCGAGGAACGCGCUUCGGCUCGGACGCUGGCAUAAUGGUCGUAAGCGACCCGUCUUGAAACACGGACCAAGGAGUCUAACAUCUACGCGAGUGUUCGGGUGUCAAACCCGUGCGCGCAGUGAAAGCGAACGGAGGUGGGAACCCCUCGGGGCGCACCAUCGACCGAUCCUGAAGUCUUCGGAUGGAUUUGAGUAAGAGCGUAGCUGUUGGGACCCGAAAGAUGGUGAACUAUGCCUGAAUAGGGCGAAGCCAGAGGAAACUCUGGUGGAGGCUCGCAGCGGUUCUGACGUGCAAAUCGAUCGUCAAAUUUGGGUAUAGGGGCGAAAGACUAAUCGAACCAUCUAGUAGCUGGUUC